rnacentral:rRNA from 1 species
AUUGAACGCUUGCGGCAGGCCUAACACAUGCAAGUCGAACGAGAGGCGGACGGGUGAGUAAUGUCUGGGAAACUGCCUGAUGGAGGGGGAUAAAUACUGGAAACGGUAGCACAUACCGCAUAACAUCAGCUGUACACAGAUGGGAUUAGCUUGUAGGUGGGGUAACGGCUCACCAAGGCGACGAUCCCUAGCUGGUCUGAGAGGAUGUCCAGCCACACUGGAACUGAGACACGGUCCAGACUCCUACGGGAGGCAGCAGUGGGGAAUAUUGCACAAUGGGCGCAAGCCUGAUGCAGCCAUGCCGCGUGUAUGAAGAAGGCCUUCGGGUUGUAAAGUACUUUCAGCGGGGAGGCGUUACCCGCAGAAGAAGCACCGGCUAACUCCGUGCCAGCAGCCGCGGUAAUAC